AUGGGCGCCUUGGAUCACCUGUCCCGUCUAUGCAACUUGACACAUACAAGGGAAGCCAUCAGGAUUAAGAAAAGGCGGCCACUGACGACGGUGAACAUCAAGGUGAAGAUGGACUGUGAGGGCUGCGAGAGGAGGGUCAAGAGCGCCGUCAAAUCGAUUCGGGGUGUGACGGCAGUGGUGGUGAAUCGCAAGAUCAGCAAGGUGACUGUGACGGGGUACGUGGAGCCUCGCAAGGUGCUGGCGAGGGUGAAGAGGACUGGGAAGACGACGGCGGAUAUGUGGCCGUACGUGCCCUACACGGUGGCCACCUACCCCUACGUCGGCGGCUCCUACGACAAGAAGGCGCCGGCGGGCCUGGUCCGCAACGUGCCGCAGGCCAUGGCCGACCCGGCCGCGCCGGAGGUCAAGUACAUGAACAUGUUCAACGACGAGGACGUUACCGCUUGCACCGUCAUGUGA
rnacentral:rRNA from 1 species